CCCCCCCCCCCCCCCCCCCCCCCCCCCCCCCCCCCCCCCCCCCCCCCCCCCCCUUCUCUGUGUCAUCCAUGCUGGGUGACACGCUGGCACUCUUAGAUUGGAUGAAGACAGAGCUGGACCAUGUAACAAGAUUGUAUUGCAUUGGGGAUCAUUUGUAAAUACCCAGCACGUAAUUUAGACUAUAAAAGAUCAGUCCUGCCUUUCUCAGGCAGAUUCUGUCCUGGACGUCUGGCGAGCAGAGCGCUGUUCGCUGGACAGAGCAUUCCUGAGCUAAGAAAGAAUAAACAGCCACGAAAACCUCUAAGAACGGUCUCCUGCAGCCUCUCACCGGCGGGCAAAGGAAAGAGCUGGGCUCAGACCACCUGCACGUCCUCCCGAGGUGAUCUCAGCUCUGAGGAGACACCUCGGGCUGUGACACCUUUGUGUGCCCGACUGAAGCCUGGGACCCUUCCUGACUCCUGCCUCUCCUAACCUGAGAGCAGCUGGUUAUUUAUUUACGGGAACUUGACCAAUUGCAGAGACUCACAUCGCCCAGCGAUCCCACCGCUGCUCACCCGGCAAAGUCGUGACAACAGAAAUAUAAUUAUUGGUGACUGCGAGGAAAGGGAGCAGCAAAGCGAAUUUGGGCGGAGCUGUGACCCCUCUGCCUCCCCAGCGCUGCUCGCUCUGUCUGUAUCGAACACGGCGAUCGAAAUUGCGCUGGAUAUCGAGACUUUGCUUCUCGUUUAUAACAAUUCUGGCGCCGAAAGCCGGGAGGGCUUUGGAGCCCCGGGAGGCGCCCGCGGCUCCUCAGCGCUCUCACGAUAUGGACAGAGCGAGGAAAGAGCUCCCCGGAAAACCGCGGCAAAACCCCCUGGAAUUCCCGUGCGCCAGGAGCCGGACAGGAGCACGGGAGCUGUGAGGAAUUGUCGGGUUUGGUGGGGACAGGAGCAUUGGAGCUGUGAGGAAUUGCUCUGGUGGGGACAGGAGCAUUGGAGCUGUGAGGAAUUGUCGGGUUUGGUGGGGACAGGAGCACGGGAGCUGUGAGGAAUUGUCGGUUUUGGUGGCCCAGGAAGAGGCCAGGAAUUCCUUCCCGUCCUGAGCCAAGGAGGGGCAGGGUUCGGGUGGAACACAAACACCUCAGGACAGUCCCUCGAGGUAAAAUAGGACAAGGAAACAGUAAGAUUUUAAGUCCAAAUUACUCACAAAAGGGUCCAAGUUCCUGUGAUCCACAAAGAAAUGCAGAUAAGACCAGUAGGUUGCCAGAAAUGCCACCGGGUAGCCCUUUGGCAGUAAUAUUAAGGCAUUGGGACACAAGGGAAUUGUACAGAGGAAAAAGUAAAUAAAAAUUGAUUCACUGUUGUGUGGUAGAGUGGACUAAGGGCAGGAUCCACAGGGGUAAUCUGUACUGACCCGUGUUUGGAUCAUUUGAGGGUUGAGUUUGUCAGGCAUUGAAUGCAUCUGUUGGUUGUAAAGAGCCAUUUAACAGAGAGGAAUGUGACAGUGCUGCUCCAGGGACGGAACAACACAAACCAUUCUCGGUAUAUACUUUAAAGGAAAAAGAGGAUGAGGAUAAAAAGAAGGUUACUUGGGAACCCCUGGAUAAUCUCCCACCUCCGUAUCCUACAGAGAAUGCAGGAGACCCUCCCAGUGCCCCCACUCCCUCCCCUCCUGGUACUCCAAUAGCUCUAAGGACUCCCUGGAGUCAAAGAAAUACCAGGAGAGAUCGUACCACCAGAAAGGAGGGAGACGGUGGCACCAAGGCUCGCCUUCACCCCCGAGGGGAGGCCCAUUAGCAGGACAACAGGCUGGAUUAAUUGGAUUUGUAAACGUUCCCUUGAAUACAGGGGAGGUAAGGAACUUUAAAAAAGAAAUUGGGAAAUGAUUCGAAGAUCCUACAGGGGUAUCGGAGAGACAGAUCAAUUCCUCGGGCCAAGUAUGGAUACUUGGAUGGAAUAACAAUCUAUAUUAAAUAUCCUUUUCACCACGGAAGAGCAGGAAAUGAUCAGACAGGCUGGAAUGAGGGUA
rnacentral:lncRNA from 12 species